CUUAGCUCUUCUCAUCACAAAAUUUAAUUAUUUUACUGCCUGAAGGGAUGGUAGUGCUGAGUUGCUGUUUGUGUACUAAAAGUGUGGGAGGCUCUUUGUAGGGGAAAGUGGACAAAGGAGCUGCUGCUCUUCGGCGAGAUCAGAAACUGGAGCUGCAAGAAAAGCAGAAACUGGAGGGACCCUCACAGUAGAGGCAGAGGGUAAGGAAUGGAUGCUAUGAAAGCUGCUGUGAGGACAGAGCACUGCAGUGUCAACCAAAUCCUGCUGAAUGCAGAAAUGUCUUGGACCAGGAGAGCUGCAAGGAAAGCAGAAGAUGCAGGGAUACCAGGGAAGUUCUGAUCCCCUCACAGGCAGGACAGCAACAUACCUCGACACAGCACAACGCCCAUGCGAUGCACUGAAGGGGAAGCACAGGGAGAGAAGGAGAAAUCCCCUCCUGUAUCGGAGUCCUCUGGGAGUCAGUUACCCUGGUGAGGAGGGCAUGUUUACAGAAACAAAGACUUGUGGAUCACCAUUGCCUCUUAUGUAAUUCCAUGGUCUUCUGUGGCAGGCAAGAGAAGAAAUCUA
rnacentral:lncRNA from 1 species